rnacentral:rRNA from 1 species
AUGUCGUGGCCAUCCUCUCUCUCCUCUCUCUCCACCGCACACCACUCCUCUCUCUCCCCCAUGCAGCGAACCCUAGCGCUCCCCGAUCCAGAUCCCUCCCCUCCCCUCGCCGCCAUCCACCGCCGCUCGCCGCCGGCCUCGACCCCCUCCCUCCCCUGCCCUCCAAACACUGUCGCCUGCCAGAUCCACUGCAUCCCCCACCCCGGCCUCUCUCUCCCGUACUGCACGCCGCCGCCACACACGGCAUCGCGCAACAAGGGGCUCGCAUCGCUCCGACCAGAUCCGAUUGGCGCCUCCCUGGCCUCGGAUCAGGCCUGCACGACCCGGGUGCCACCACCGGGAGGCGUGGAUUCAUGCGUGCUCCGGUUGCGGGUUCUGACCAUCCUCGGCGUCAUGUCCUCAAGGUGCACGAGAGACCUCGUCUCCACUCCAAGGCCAUUCGUGCUGGCGUAG